rnacentral:miRNA from 1 species
GACGGCUGGGAGAAGAGUGGUGAAGAAGAGUAUUGAUUUUGCUGUUCACCACUUCCUUUUCUGCAG